UGGCGAACGGGUGAGUAACACGUGGGGCAACCUGCCCAAAAGAGGGGGAUAACACUUGGAAACAGGUGCUAAUACCGCAUAACCAUAGUUACCGCAUGGUAGCUAUGUAAAAGGUGGCUAUGCUACCGCUUUUGGAUGGGCCCGCGGCGCAUUAGCUAGUUGGUGGGGUAAAGGCUUACCAAGGCAAUGAUGCGUAGCCGAACUGAGAGGUUGAUCGGCCACAUUGGGACUGAGACACGGCCCAAACUCCUACGGGAGGCAGCAG
rnacentral:rRNA from 1 species